rnacentral:rRNA from 1 species
CCUACGGGUGGCAGCAGUGGGGAAUAUUGGACAAUGGGGGCAACCCUGAUCCAGCCAUGCCGCGUGUGUGAAGAAGGCCCUCGGGGUGUAAAGCACUUUCAGUGAGGAAGAACGCCUGGUGGUUAAUACCCAUCAGGAAAGACAUCACUCACAGAAGAAGCACCGGCUAACUCCGUGCCAGCAGCCGCGGUAAUACGGAGGGUGCGAGCGUUAAUCGGAAUUACUGGGCGUAAAGCGCGCGUAGGUGGCUUGAUAAGCCGGUUGUGAAAGCCCCGGGCUCAACCUGGGAACGGCAUCCGGAACUGUCAAGCUAGAGUGCAGGAGAGGAAGGUAGAAUUCCCGGUGUAGCGGUGAAAUGCGUAGAGAUCGGGAGGAAUACCAGUGGCGAAGGCGGCCUUCUGGACUGACACUGACACUGAGGUGCGAAAGCGUGGGUAGCAAACAGGAUUAGAUACCCCGGUAGUC